ensembl:lncRNA
CCCACCGUCGCCGGCGGGAACCGCCCGUCUUCUCCGCCAGCAGCUUCCGCCUGCCGCAGUACCGGCACGCGCUCUGGGGUCCCGCCCCUUCCCAGGGAUAGUGACCGGGCGAGCGCGCGCCUCGCGGUACCGAAGACAUCUGAGCACGGGCCAGGGCUUCGGCACCAGAAGCGGGUUGUGAUGGGGUCCAGCUUGCAAUGAAGAAUACCCCCACCACCACCACAACUAGAGAAAGUCCACUCCCUGGAAGACCCAGCAUAGGCAAAAAUAAAUAAUAAUUUUAAAAAAUUAGAAAAGGAAGUACUACAGACACAGUGAGCUUCUGGUUUGUUCAUCCCUGUAUCCCUGGGGCCUGAACAGAUCCUGCUACAUAAUAGGCACUUGGUAAAUAUUUGUUAUCUCUGGAGGUGAAUGAGGACCUUUAAGGAUAGUAGAGUAAAAAAGAAGUCCAAGGACAAAAAGAAGAAAGUAUGUCAGGGGAUACUUGUUAGAAACCAAGAAGGUGUAGUGCAAAGGAAGCCAUGAGGGGAGUUUUUUUGUUCAUGUUUGUGCACACGUGUGCUAAGUCACUUCAGUCAAGUCCGACUCUGCAACCCUAUGGACUGCUACCUGCCACUCUCCUCUGUCUUUGGGAUUCUCCAGUGCUGGAGAAGACCCUUGAGAGUCCCUUGGACAGCAAGAUCAAACCAGUCAAUCCUAAAGGAAAUCAACCGUGAAUAUUAACUGGAAGGACUAUGCUGAAGCUCCAAUAUUUUGGCCACCUGAUGUGAAGAGCUUACUCAUUGGAAAAGACCUUGAUGCUAGGAAAGAUUAAGGGCAGGAGGGAAAGGGGGUAACAGAAGAUGAGAUAGUUGGAUGGCAUCACCAACUCAAUGGACAUGAGUUUGAGAAACUCCAGGAGAUGGUGAAGGACAGGGAAGCCUGGCAUACUGCAGUUCAUAGAAUUGCAAGUAGUCAGAUACAGCUUAGCGACUGAAAAACAAUGGUGACCUCCAAGAGGGCUCACACUAAGGGGCACUUCCUGGGACUGCUGCUGCUAGUGCCCCCAUCCCUGCAGCGAGCCACUGCUGACCCACGACUCCGCAGGAGUUCAUCGAACACUAGAUGGUUGGUCUGGUUCAGUCUCCUGUGGGGUCACUGCUCCUUUCCUCUCAGUCCUGGCGCACACAAGAUUUUGUUUGUGCCCUCCAAGUGUGAAGUCUCUAUUUCUCUCAGUCCUAUGGAAGUCCUGCAAUCAAAUCCUGUUGGCCUUCACAGUCAGAAUCCCUGGGGAUUCCUAGUCCCUUUGCUGGAUCCCCAGGCUAGGACACUCAGAACCAUCACAAGAGUGGGAGAACUUCUUUGAUAUUAGUGUUCUCCAGUUUGUGGGUUGCCUGCUAGGCGGGUAUGGGAUUUAACUUUAUCGUGAUUGUGCCCUCCCCCCACCAUCUCGUUGUAGCUUCUCCUUUGUCUUUAGAUGUGGGAUAUCUUUUUUUGGUGGGUUCCAGCAUCCUCCUGUCCAUGGUUGUUCAAAAGCUAGUUGGUGCUCUCACAGGAGAUGGGCACAUGUCCUUGUACCCUGCCAUCUUGAACCAGUCAACCCUGAAGACAAGACUAUAAGUGAGUGAUUAUAAACAGUGAUUGCAGAAACUGAUUCAUGAUGGAGUUUAAGAAGUAGCCAAAAAUGUCAAGAGUUGCAGAGAAGGGAAUAAGAACUGAGAAGAGAUGGUGUUCAUCUAGUGAUAUUUAUAGAAGCAGUUCAUGAAUAAGAACCUUGGAAUUCUUUCAUCUAUUUUAUGGGUCAACUUUGUAACUGAAUUUUAAGGAUUCUUUACCAGCUGAGCCACAAGGGAAACUCAUGAAUAGUGGAGGAUCUUGCAAAUGAACAGGUAAAUAUGGGGUGAUGAUUGAAAGUGUUAUAGAGGAGAUAAUCCUUGAAAAAGUUUUCAGGAAGAAAAGGAAGGGAAUUUCAUGCAGG